rnacentral:rRNA from 1 species
GAUGAACGCUGGCGGCGUGCCUAAUACAUGCAAGUAGAACGCUGAAGGAAGGAGCUUGCUCUUUCCGGUUGAGUUGCGAACGGGUGAGUAACGCGUAGGUAACCUGCCUGGUAGCGGGGGAUAACUAUUGGAAACGAUAGCUAAUACCGCAUAACAGUAGAUGUUGCAUUAAUACUAGUUGAAAGGGGCAGUUGCUUCACUAACAGAUGGACCUGCGUUGUAUUAGCUAGUUGGUGAGGUAACGGCCCACCAAGGCGAAGAUACCUAGCUGGGCUGGGAGGAGGACCCGCCACCCUGGGGCGGGGACACGGCGGAGACUCCUGCGGGAGGAAGCAGGGGGGAAUAUUGGACAACGGGGGAAAGAAGGAGCGUGCAAUACCGAGAGAGUGAGUAAGGCCAGAGGGUUGGAAAGGUAUUUUAGAAAGGAAGAUUAUGACGGUACCUGAAGAAAAAGCCCCGGCUAACUCCGUG